GUAAGAAAAUCGGAUGAUGAGCCUCCCCAAGUUCCAGAAACAAACUUGGAUGAUGAGCACCCCCAAGUUCCAGAAACAAAUGUGGACGAUGGGAAGCCCCAAGUUGCAGGUAAGUUAUAAAGCCUAACAGACCCUUUGCAUGGUGUGUCAUGACAGUAGGUAAGGCUGUGUUUCUGUGUGAUACACUCAUUGAUCUCCAUUAGUAAGACUGGAUAGGACACAGCGCCCUCCAUCUUGUGCACGCAUGCGUAGUCAUCGGUGAGGCUUUGAAAGUUUGAAAUGCGUUCGUCCCACACAGACCAUGCAGCACGCCCAAGUCACGCAGUCGCAAACAUUAAACCCGCACUGUACUACCCAGCUGUUUGUGUCCACGUUUUCCGAAUCUUCUCUGCGUGCAAGUGUACGCAUGUCUUAUCCAGUCUUACUAAUGGAGAUCAAUGG